rnacentral:lncRNA from 1 species
AAAUAAUGGCCUUCCACCAAUUGUCCAGAGGGCAAUUUUCUUUGGUCGAGAGGUUGGAGCUGCAGAUAGAAAGCUUUUGCCUACCUAUCAGUUGAAAAGUCGUAAAUACCUAGGUCCUACAGCCAUGGAUGCUGAAAUAGCCUUUCUCAUGGCUAAUCAAGGGUUAGCAGAACCAGGAAAACUUGUCUAUGAUCCCUUUGUAGGAACUGGGAGCAUUCUGGUUGCUGCUGCACAUUUUGGAGCAAUGACAAUGGGUGCAGAUAUUGACAUAAGGGUAGUACGUGAUGGGCGUGGCCCAGAUUGUAAUGUUUGGAGCAAUUUUAAAUCUGAAAAUGUUAUAAUGAUGCGAAGUUGUAUGAAUGAGGGUUCUGUGUUUGUGUUAUAUGCAAAUUUUUCUUUUUUGCACGAGGAAUGACUAAUAAAUUAUUCAGAUAAUAAUUUUGAAAUGUUCAAGAUCGAAAUUUACACAAUACACUAGCUUGAAGCAAAUAAAACUGCAAAGGUCACAUAAUAAAAGCUACAAAUGCAUGUAAUGGGUAUCAGAGCACUGUCUUAUUCUUGUCCAUCUGAAGAAACCACUCAAUUUUCCUUAGUAAAUUUCUUUCUUUAUAUUUGUGUUUAAAACUGUAGCAAAUGAACUUACAUGCCUGGAUAUGCAAAGUCUUAGAUAGCUAGCUUUAAUAUUAAAUCAGUAAAUAUAUCAUUUUUUGAGUAAUGUAUUAUAUAUGCUUGAGGUGCAAGAAGUUGGGUAGAUUAUUUAAUUUUACAUUGUUGCUAGUUCAAUUUCUGAUAGUAACCUUCCAGGGACGGGUUGAUUUGCGAAGCCCAGAUCACAAGUUCUAUCUCAUGGAAACUGACAAUUAUGGAUCAAAUAAUGGCCUUCCACCAAUUGUCCAGAGGGCAAUUUUCUUUGGUCGAGAGGUUGGAGCUGCAGAUAGAAAGCUUUUGCCUACUUAUCAGUUGAAAAAGUCGUAAAUACCUAGGUCCUACAGCCAUGGAUGCUGAAAUAGCCUUUCUCAUGGCUAAUCAAGGGUUAGCACAACCAGGAAAACUUGUCUAUGAUCCCUUUGUAGGAACUG